GUAAAAGAAACCAUUAUUGGCUUUUUAGUUAAUUUUUAAUUAUUUCAAUUUUUUUAGUUUUUAGGUGGAAUUUAUAACUACAAUUAUAAUAUUAUUUAUUAUUAUGAUACUAUGAAACUUAUGAUAAAAACAAGGAUUAGAUACCCUUUUAUUUUAAGUGUUAAUUUUUGCCUGGGUAGUAAUAGUUAUGUUCUUGAAACCCAAAGGRUUUGGCGGUAUUUUAGUCUUUUCAGAGGARCCUGUCCUGUA
rnacentral:rRNA from 1 species